UACAGAGGGGGCAAGCGUUGUUCGGAAUUACUGGGCGUAAAGGGCGCGUAGGCGGCAAGGCAAGUCAGGUGUGAAAGCCCCGGGCUUAACCCGGGAAUUGCAUCUGAAACUGCUGUGCUUGAGUUCUGGAGGGGGUAGUGGAAUUCCCAGUGUAGCGGUGAAAUGCGUAGAUAUUGGGAGGAACACCUGCGGCGAAGGCGGCUACCUGGACAGAAACUGACGCUGAGGCGCGAAAGCUAGGGGAGCGAACGGG
rnacentral:rRNA from 1 species